rnacentral:rRNA from 1 species
UUCCUACGGGAGGCAGCAGUGGGGAAUAUUGCACAAUGGGCGAAAGCCUGAUGCAGCAACGCCGCGUGCGGGAUGAAGGCCCUAGGGUUGUAAACCGCUUUCAGCAGGGAAGAAAAUGACGGUACCUGCAGAAGAAGGUGCGGCCAACUACGUGCCAGCAGCCGCGGUGACACGUAGGCGCCAAGCGUUGUCCGGAUUUAUUGGGCGUAAAGAGCUCGUAGGCGGUUCAGUUAGUCGGGUGUGAAAACUCUGGGCUCAACCCAGAGACGCCACCCGAUACUGCUGUGACUAGAGUACGGUAGGGGAGUGGGGAAUUCCUGGUGUAGCGGUGAAAUGCGCAGAUAUCAGGAGGAACACCGGUGGCGAAGGCGCCACUCUGGGCCGUAACUGACGCUGAGGAGCGAAAGCGUGGGUAGCAAACAGGAUUAGAUACCCUGGUAGUCCACGCCGUAAACGUUGGGCACUAGGUGUGGGUCUCAACCAACGAGAUCCGCGCCGUCGCUAACGCAUUAAGUGCCCCGCCUGGGGAGUACGGUCGCAAGACUAAAACUCAAAUGAAUUGACGGAA